CCAAGGUUUGCUCCGAGCACUUUGAGAAGCAGUGCUUUGUAAAGACCGCCCGUGGUAUCACAAAGCUUAUAAAGGAUGCUGUGCCAACUUUGUUCGCCUGGACUUCAGAGAGGCCAAAGAGGAGAAUCAUCAUUCGCAGACCGAGUACGGAUUCCAUGGAGGUGGAUGAAAACCAGCCUGAUGAGAACCAACCUGAUGUGAGAAGGGAUGCCUUGAGCACAGAUGUACCUCCUCCACACCCGUACCAUGAUUAUGCUGUUCCACCGCUGACACCAGAGGAACAACUUGAGGCGGCUCGCAAGCACAUCAUUGAGCAAGACAAGUUAAUAGCACAACUUAAAGAUAAAGUGUUCAGUGUGUCAAGAUUCCAGUGUGAUGAUGGUCAGAUGUCAUUUUACACAGGA